GCCCCCGUAGCUCAGCGGACAGAGCGGGCGUUUUCUAAACGUCUGGUCGCAGGUUCGACUCCUGCCGGGGGUA
rnacentral:tRNA from 1 species